UUAACUGAAUCCAUAGGUUAAUGAGGCGAACCGGGGGAACUGAAACAUCUAAGUACCCCGAGGAAAAGAAAUCAACCGAGAUUCCCCCAGUAGCGGCGAGCGAACGGGGAGGAGCCCAGAGCCUGAAUCAGCAUGUGUGUUAGUGGAAGCGUCUGGAAAGGCGCGCGAUACAGGGUGACAGCCCCGUACACAAAAGCGCAUGUGCUGUGAGCUCGAUGAGUAGGGCGGGACACGUGGUAUCCUGUCUGAAUAUGGGGGGACCAUCCUCCAAGGCUAAAUACUCCUGACUGACCGAUAGUGAACCAGUACCGUGAGGGAAAGGCGAAAAGAACCCCGGCGAGGGGAGUGAAAAAGAACCUGAAACCGUGUACGUACAAGCAGUGGGAGCACCCUUUGGGUGUGACUGCGUACCUUUUGUAUAAUGGGUCAGCGACUUAUAUUCUGUAGCAAGGUUAACCGAAUAGGGGAGCCGGAGGGAAACCGAGUCUUAACCGGGCGUUAAGUUGCAGGGUAUAGACCCGAAACCCGGUGAUCUAGCCAUGGGCAGGUUGAAGGUUGGGUAACACUAACUGGAGGACCGAACCGACUAAUGUUGAAAAAUUAGCGGAUGACCUGUGGCUGGGGGUGAAAGGCCAAUCAAACCGGGAGAUAGCUGGUUCUCCCCGAAAGCUAUUUAGGUAGCGCCUCGUGAAUUCAUCUCCGGGGGUAGAGCACUGUUUCGGCUAGGGGGCCAUCCCGGCUUACCAACCCGAUGCAAACUGCGAAUACCGGAGAAUGUUAUCACGGGAGACACACGGCGGGUGCUAACGUCCGUCGUGAAGAGGGAAACAACCCAGACCGCCAGCUAAGGUCCCAAAGUCAUGGUUAAGUGGGAAACGAUGUGGGAAGGCCCAGACAGCCAGGAUGUUGGCUUAGAAGCAGCCAUCAUUUAAAGAAAGCGUAAUAGCUCACUGGUCGAGUCGGCCUGCGCGGAAGAUGUAACGGGGCUAAACCAUGCACCGAAGCUGCGGCAGCGACACUGUGUGUUGUUGGGUAGGGGAGCGUUCUGUAAGCCUGUGAAGGUGUGUCGUGAGGCAUGCUGGAGGUAUCAGAAGUGCGAAUGCUGACAUAAGUAACGAUAAAGCGGGUGAAAAGCCCGCUCGCCGGAAGACCAAGGGUUCCUGUCCAACGUUAAUCGGGGCAGGGUGAGUCGACCCCUAAGGCGAGGCCGAAAGGCGUAGUCGAUGGGAAACGGGUUAAUAUUCCCGUACUUGGUGUUACUGCGAAGGGGGGACGGAGAAGGCUAUGUUGGCCGGGCGACGGUUGUCCCGGUUUAAGCGUGUAGGUGUGUGUUCCAGGUAAAUCCGGUUCACUUUAACACUGAGGCGUGACGACGAGGCACUACGGUGCUGAAGCAACAAAUGCCCUGCUUCCAGGAAAAGCCUCUAAGCAUCAGGUAACAUCAAAUCGUACCCCAAACCGACACAGGUGGUCAGGUAGAGAAUACCAAGGCGCUUGAGAGAACUCGGGUGAAGGAACUAGGCAAAAUGGUGCCGUAACUUCGGGAGAAGGCACGCUGACACGUAGGUGAAGUGAUUUACUCAUGGAGCUGAAGUCAGUCGAAGAUACCAGCUGGCUGCAACUGUUUAUUAAAAACACAGCACUGUGCAAACACGAAAGUGGACGUAUACGGUGUGACGCCUGCCCGGUGCCGGAAGGUUAAUUGAUGGGGUCAGCGCAAGCGAAGCUCCUGAUCGAAGCCCCGGUAAACGGCGGCCGUAACUAUAACGGUCCUAAGGUAGCGAAAUUCCUUGUCGGGUAAGUUCCGACCUGCACGAAUGGCGUAAUGAUGGCCAGGCUGUCUCCACCCGAGACUCAGUGAAAUUGAACUCGCUGUGAAGAUGCAGUGUACCCGCGGCAAGACGGAAAGACCCCGUGAACCUUUACUAUAGCUUGACACUGAACAUUGAGCCUUGAUGUGUAGGAUAGGUGGGAGGCUUUGAAGUGUGGACGCCAGUCUGCAUGGAGCCGACCUUGAAAUACCACCCUUUAAUGUUUGAUGUUCUAACGUGGACCCGUUACCCGGGUUGCGGACAGUGUCUGGUGGGUAGUUUGACUGGGGCGGUCUCCUCCUAAAGAGUAACGGAGGAGCACGAAGGUUGGCUAAUCCUGGUCGGACAUCAGGAGGUUAGUGCAAUGGCAUAAGCCAGCUUGACUGCGAGCGUGACGGCGCGAGCAGGUGCGAAAGCAGGUCAUAGUGAUCCGGUGGUUCUGAAUGGAAGGGCCAUCGCUCAACGGAUAAAAGGUACUCCGGGGAUAACAGGCUGAUACCGCCCAAGAGUUCAUAUCGACGGCGGUGUUUGGCACCUCGAUGUCGGCUCAUCACAUCCUGGGGCUGAAGUAGGUCCCAAGGGUAUGGCUGUUCGCCAUUUAAAGUGGUACGCGAGCUGGGUUUAGAACGUCGUGAGACAGUUCGGUCCCUAUCUGCCGUGGGCGCUGGAGAACUGAGGGGGGCUGCUCCUAGUACGAGAGGACCGGAGUGGACGCAUCACUGGUGUUCGGGUUGUCAUGCCAAUGGCACUGCCCGGUAGCUAAAUGCGGAAGAGAUAAGUGCUGAAAGCAUCUAAGCACGAAACUUGCCCCGA
rnacentral:rRNA from 1 species